rnacentral:rRNA from 1 species
UACAGAGGUCUCAAGCGUUGUUCGGAUUCAUUGGGCGUAAAGGGUGUGUAGGUGGCGCGCUAAGUCGGGUGUGAAAUUUCGGAGCUUAACUCCGAAACUGCAUUCGAUACUGGCGUGCUUGAGGACUGGAGAGGAGACUGGAAUUCAUGGUGUAGCAGUGAAAUGCGUAGAGAUGUGGAGGAACACCAGUGGCGAAGGCGGCUUUCUGGUCUGUAACUGACGCUGAGGCGCGAAAGCGUGGGGGAGCAAACAGG